rnacentral:rRNA from 1 species
GUGGGGAAUAUUGGACAAUGGGCGAAAGCCUGACGCAGCCAUGCCGCGUGAAUGAUGAAGGUCUUAGGAUUGUAAAAUUCUUUCACCGGGGACGAUAAUGACGGUACCCGGAGAAGAAGCCCCGGCUAACUUCGUGCCAGCAGCCGCGGUAAUACGAAGGGGGCUAGCGUUGCUCGGAAUUACUGGGCGUAAAGGGAGCGUAGGCGGAUAGUUUAGUCAGAGGUGAAAGCCCAGGGCUCAACCUUGGAAUUGCCUUUGAUACUGGCUAUCUUGAGUAUGGAAGAGGUAUGUGGAACUCCGAGUGUAGAGGUGAAAUUCGUAGAUAUUCGGAAGAACACCAGUGGCGAAGGCGACAUACUGGUCCAUUACUGACGCUGAGGCUCGAAAGCGUGGGGAGCAAACAGGAUUAGAAACCCCGGUAGUCC